rnacentral:rRNA from 1 species
UACGUAGGGCGCAAGCGUUGUCCGGAAUUAUUGGGCGUAAAGAGCUCGUAGGCGGCUUGUCACGUCGGAUGUGAAAGCCCGGGGCUUAACUCCGGGUCUGCAUUCGAUACGGGCUAGCUAGAGUGUGGUAGGGGAGAUCGGAAUUCCUGGUGUAGCGGUGAAAUGCGCAGAUAUCAGGAGGAACACCGAUGGCGAAGGCAGGUCUCUGGGCAUUAACUGACGCUGAGGAGCGAAAGCAUGGGGAGCGAACAGG